UAACGGCGAGUGAAAAGGGAUGAGCCCAGCGUCGAAUCACGUUGCUCCUUACCGGGUGACGAGAAAUGUGACGUAUAGGUGUUGCACUACCGAUUCGUGUGAACGUGUGCUCGAAGUCUUUUUGAACAAGGCUUUUAGCCUCAGAGGGGUGCAAGCCCCCGUACGAGUACUCGCGCGGGACGGUGUUUUGUGUUGCGCUUUGGAGUCGGGCUGCUUGAAAGUGCAGUCUAAAGUUGGGUGAUAAACAUCAUCUAAGGCUAAAUACGAAUACGAAUUCGAUAGCAAACAAGUACCGUGAGGGAAAGUUGCAAAGAACUUUGAAAAGAGAGUUCAAGAGAGCGUGAAACCACCGGAGUGGAAGCGGAUAGAGCCGACGUAGUCUUGUGGCAAAACCGUUCGCGUAUAGGCGAUCCGUCGUUGAUCGUCCUAGCGUAGCGGUGGUCGCCUACUGGGACUGCAUCGACGGCGUUGACGAAUAUUAUAGCCCAUUCCCAAGUCCGUUGGAUUGUUGCCCCGAUAUCGCUUGCCGGUACUUGGGGGUCUUUGUCAAUGCGGAACUCUGGUUGGUCGCCGUCAGCGUUGGCCACUCAAUGGUCCUCGGGCCAAUGUGCGUCAAUGGGAAAGUCGGUCACCUAUUCCGGCCCGUCUGGAAACACGGACCGGGAAGGGUAGUUAUUGUGCGAGUCGAAAAGGGCUCAAAACUCUUAUAUCCGGCGUAAGGAAAGUAAAAGACCGAACUUGUGGCGGUUGACCAUGGGGAUUUGGGGGUUCUCGGGGUCUUGCCAACGCACCAUGGUCCUAUCCGAAUGGCUUGCCAUUGGGUAGAGAUAGAGCAUAAUGGCUGCGACCCGAAAGAUGGUGAUCUAUGCUUGAGCAGGACGAAGCCCAGAGGAAACUCUGGUGGAAGUCCCGCAUCGGUUUUGACGUGCAAAUCA
rnacentral:rRNA from 1 species